GACGAACGCUGGCGGCGUGCUUAACACAUGCAAGUCGAACGGAAAGGCCCUGCUUUUGUGGGGUGCUCGAGUGGCGAACGGGUGAGUAACACGUGAGUAACCUGCCCUUGACUUUGGGAUAACUUCAGGAAACUGGGGCUAAUACCGGAUAGGAGCUCCUGCUGCAUGGUGGGGGUUGGAAAGUUUCGGCGGUUGGGGAUGGACUCGCGGCUUAUCAGCUUGUUGGUGGGGUAGUGGCUUACCAAGGCUUUGACGGGUAGCCGGCCUGAGAGGGUGACCGGCCACAUUGGGACUGAGAUACGGCCCAGACUCCUACGGGAGGCAGCAGUGGGGAAUAUUGCACAAUGGGCGGAAGCCUGAUGCAGCAACGCCGCGUGCGGGAUGACGGCCUUCGGGUUGUAAACCGCUUUCGCCUGUGACGAAGCGUGAGUGACGGUAAUGGGUAAAGAAGCACCGGCUAACUACGUGCCAGCAGCCGCGGUGAUACGUAGGGUGCGAGCGUUGUCCGGAUUUAUUGGGCGUAAAGGGCUCGUAGGUGGUUGAUCGCGUCGGAAGUGUAAUCUUGGGGCUUAACCCUGAGCGUGCUUUCGAUACGGGUUGACUUGAGGAAGGUAGGGGAGAAUGGAAUUCCUGGUGGAGCGGUGGAAUGCGCAGAUAUCAGGAGGAACACCAGUGGCGAAGGCGGUUCUCUGGGCCUUUCCUGACGCUGAGGAGCGAAAGCGUGGGGAGCGAACAGGCUUAGAUACCCUAGUAGUCCACGCUGUAAACGGUGGGUACUAGGUGUGGGGUCCAUUCCACGGGUUCCGUGCCGUAGCUAACGCUUUAAGUACCCCGCCUGGGGAGUACGGCCGCAAGGCUAAAACUCAAAGGAAUUGACGGGGCCCCGCACAAGCGGCGGAGCAUGCGGAUUAAUUCGAUGCAACGCGUAGAACCUUACCUGGGUUUGACAUGGAUCGGGAGUGCUCAGAGAUGGGUGUGCCUCUUUUGGGGUCGGUUCACAGGUGGUGCAUGCCUGUCGUCAGCUCGUGUCGUGAGAUGUUGGGUUAAGUCCCGCAACGAGCGCAACCCUUGUUCACUGUUGCCAGCACGUUAUGGUGGGGACUCAGUGGAGACCGCCGGGGUCAACUCGGAGGAAGGUGGGGAUGACGUCAAGUCCUCAUGCCCCUUAUGUCCAGGGCUUCACGCAUGCUACAAUGGCUGGUACAGAGAGUGGCGAGCCUGUGAGGGUGAGCGAAUCUCGGAAAGCCGGUCUCAGUUCGGAUUGGGGUCUGCAACUCGACCUCAUGAAGUCGGAGUCGCUAGUAAUCGCAAAUCAGCAACGCUGCGGUGAAUACGUUCCCGGGGC
rnacentral:rRNA from 1 species